UAGCAUAAUCAUUAGUUUUUUAAUUGAAGACUGGAAUGAAAGGUUUAACAAAAAAUAAUCUUUAUAAAUUUUAAAUUAUUGAAUUUGUUUUUUUAGUAAAAAAACUAAAAUUUUUAAAAAAGACGAUAAGACCCUAUAAAGCUUUAUAAUAAAAAUUUAUAAUUUAUAAUUAGAAUAAGAUAUUUAUUUUUUAUUUAUUAUUUAAUUGGGGUGAUUUAAAGAUUUAAUAAACUCUUUUUUUAGAAUAUCAAUUUUAAUUGAUUUUUUUGAUCCUUUAUAAAUUAAGAAUAAAAAAAUAAGUUACUUUAGGGAUAACAGCGGUAAUUUUUUUAAAGAGUUCAAAUCGAUAAAAAAGAUUGCGACCUCGAUGUUGAAUUAAGAUAAAAAUUAGGUGCAGCAGUUUAAUUUUUUAGUCUGUUCGACUAUUAUAUUCUU
rnacentral:rRNA from 1 species